GACGAACGCUGGCGGCGUGCUUAACACAUGCCAGUCGAACGGAAAGGCCCUGCUUUUGUGGGGUGCUCGAGUGGCGAACGGGUGAGUAACACGUGAGUAACCUGCCCUUGACUUUGGGAUAACUUCAGGAAACUGGGGCUAAUACCGGAUAGGAGCUCCUGCUGCAUGGUGGGGGUUGGAAAGUUUCGGCGGUUGGGGAUGGACUCGCGGCUUAUCAGCUUGUUGGUGGGGUAGUGGCUAACCAAGGCUUCGACGGGUAGCCGGCCUGAGAGGGUGACCGGCCACAUUGGGACUGAGAUACGGCCCAGACUCCUACGGGAGGCAGCAGUGGGGAAUAUUGCACAAUGGGCGGAAGCCUGAUGCAGCAACGCCGCGUGCGGGAUGACGGCCUUCGGGUUGUAAACCGCUUUCGCCUGUGACGAAGCGUGAGUGACGGUAAUGGGUAAAGAAGCACCGGCUAACUACGUG
rnacentral:rRNA from 1 species